rnacentral:rRNA from 1 species
UACAGGGGUCCCGAGCGUUGUUCGGAUUUACUGGGCGUAAAGGGCGCGUAGGCGGCCACCGCAAGUCGACUGUGAAAUCUCCGGGCUUAACCCGGAAAGGUCAGCCGAUACUGCGGGGCUAGAGUGCAGAAGGGGCAACUGGAAUUCUCGGUGUAGCGGUGAAAUGCGUAGAUAUCGAGAGGAACACCUGCGGCGAAGGCGGGUUGCUGGGCUGACACUGACGCUGAUGCGCGAAAGCUAGGGGAGCGAACGGG